rnacentral:rRNA from 1 species
UACGUAGGCAGCGAGCGUUGUUCGGAUUUACUGGGCGUAAAGGGUGUGUAGGCGGUUCUUUAAGUUUGGUGUGAAAUCUCCCGGCUCAACCGGGAGGGUGCGCCGAAUACUGAGGGACUAGAGUGUGGGAGAGGAAAGUGGAAUUCCUGGUGUAGCGGUGAAAUGCGUAGAUAUCAGGAGGAACACCGGUGGUGUAGACGGCUUUCUGGACCAUAACUGACGCUGAGACACGAAAGCGUGGGUAGCAAACAGG